rnacentral:tRNA from 1 species
UCCUUCAUAGCUCAGUCGGUAAAGAAUCUGCUUGCAAUGCAGGAGACCCAGGUUUGAUUCCUGGGUUGGGAA